UCCAAUAUCAGUAAAGCUCUUAAUUAUUUUACACAAUGUCACUGUUUCGUCUCCUGGAGCAGACACAGAACCAGGAGCAGGUAAAUACAGGGCUUUAUUUACAAAUUCAGGAAUGUGCAAAUGUCCGUUGAAGCAGGACUUGAGGUGGUGACAGUGGUGGAGCUGAAGCAGGGGAGCAGAGGGUGACGGUGGUGGAGCUGCUGACCCAGAAGUAAAAAACAACUCCCAAAACACCAAAACUAACUAGGAACUGUGGAAUUACAAAAAGUGACGAUGAGCUUAUAAGCCGGUGUCCUGAUGAGUUGGGAUCACCGGCAGGUGUGUGUAAUCACCAGCAUUGACACAGCUCCAGUGACCAGGUACCUGUACACACAAGCCAAACACACACCCCAACACACUCCCAUCCACCCACGGUGAAAAACACCACACUACACACACACGUGCAAAAUAAUAACAAGAAAAGGGUUCGAACUACAUACACCCCCUCCGUCACCCACUAAGCCUCAGAGUCACAUUGCAAAAUGCCCAGGCUGCUCUUUGGUCACGAGUGAUUGGUUGACAAAAACUAUAUAAAAGCAUGGACACAGUCACAGUCAACAUCCACAUCACAACACUGUAUUGGCCAGAAGUGUAAUAUAUAGCCCAACAUUUACAAAGAUGGAGGUUUUUAGGAUGAAGAUUUUGGCUGUCGUUUUUGUCAUGAUGCUGGUCUCCAGCUCAAUGGCAAAACCAACGCAUGUGAUUGAAAAGCGCUCCAGUGAAGAGAGAACACAGUCUUCUACUUCCACCUCCACUAUUUCUCAAUUUGUGACUCAGCUGACUCAGCUGCUCCAGCUCAUCAAUCUCAUCAGGGGUGUCCAGGCUGCGGGUUGAGCUCCCAGACGAGAUGACACUGUGGAUGAGAAAAGAAC